rnacentral:rRNA from 1 species
UGAGGAAUAUUGGUCAAUGGAGGAAACUCUGAACCAGCCAAGUCGCGUGAAGGAAGAAUGUCCUAAGGAUUGUAAACUUCUUUAGCGAGCGAGUAAGGACUUCCACGCGUUGGGAGUUUGAAAGUAGCUCGAGAAUAAGUAUCGGCUAACUCCGUGCCAGCAGCCGCGGUAAUACGGAGGAUACGAGCGUUAUCCGGAUUUAUUGGGUUUAAAGGGUGCGCAGGUGGUCUUGCAAGUCAGUGGUGAAAAGCUGAGGCUCAACCUCAGCCUUGCCGUUGAAACUGCAAGACUUGAGAGUACAUGAUGUGGGCGGAAUGCGUAGUGUAGCGGUGAAAUGCAUAGAUAUUACGCAGAACUCCGAUUGCGAAGGCAGCUCACAAAGGUAUUUCUGACACUGAGGCACGAAAGCGUGGGGAGCGAACAGG